UCGGAGGCGCUUUGGAGGCGUUGAUGGCAUCGCUGGGUUCGGUUUGCAGCGGGUGUCCGCUAAGGGAUACGGUGUUCUUCCUGAGUGGGCACGGUUCUCGGUGCCGGUAGGGAUGAUAAUGGGUACUGAGAAAAUACGUCUCCCUUAGAGUACCGCGGAAAGGUUCUCAGUGCGCUCUCUAUCAAGUGCUAUGAGUCUUGAUAAAUUGGAGAAGAGCCCAAGAGAAAUUUUUCAUCCCUUGAUAUAAAAGGGACCGGUGAAUUUUAACUUUGGAGUCCCCUAUGCUAAGGAUGCUCAGCUUACAGGUGAUGAAAUGUUCAGUAAUGUAUUUGCUGCAGCUCUGCUUACCCAAGCUUUGGGUUCCUUCUGUCCCACUGGGAGUUGCCCAGUUUGGUUGCAUCUGGUGAAAUUCACCCUGAGACCUUACAGAACUAGCUCCAACUACGUGAGAGCCAUUUGCAGUUCUCUCCAGACACCUGGAGAAUGGGUGACGUUUCUGAGGAUCCGGCGAGCGUGCUUCUAUCAAAACUCAGUCUGUGAAAUUCCUGGGGAAAACCCUUCUGUGUCCUGAAGGGUUCAAACUCUGGUGAGGAUCCAGUUAUCAGGGGCUCACCUGGAUGGUUCCAGCUCCCAAAGUUAACACUUCUACUCUUGCCCUGUAGUUUACAUCUAUUGUAUUUUUGUUAUUUUGCAACAUUUUUUGUCUUUGCAAAAUAUUGUGCAUUUCACUCUUUGGAACCUCUCAGAUGGUUCUUUGGUGCAGCACCACCCCAGGGGACACUUGGCUGCUGUCCUGAAGGGUUUGGUCGCUAGAAUUGUGAAUCCUGGAGAGUUUGUGAGUCUUCUGUCCCCAGGGAGGUGUCGUGCUUUGUUUACUUUUGUUCUGUUGGUUAGGCGCUGCUUCUCGUUGCAAGUAUGAAUUUCAAACUGCCCUGUUCUUAUUUUAACUGUUUUCCUGGUUCUCUCUGUCCGGCAGGGAAAGACUCUCGUAUCCUUGUCGUCGGGCUCGGUGCUGUCCAAGAAGAUACAGAGACUAAAAAAAUCAUAAGAAGCAAAAUAUGACUGCAGGGAAAAGAAGCUGGAGAGAACAGAAGACUCAUCACGGCGGGACAGCGUGAGGACUGAAAGUGUAAGAAGAUGUGGAGGGAAACAGAGAAUCUGACAGGAGCAGCGAACGCACGAGUGCAGGAAUUUUGCUUUUUGCUUGGAUGUAAACUCAGGAGUUGAGAGGAAUUUGGGAGUGAGAAGGGACAUUUCAGAAGGAGAAGAAGAAAAAGAGGUUGUUGUUGUUGUUACAGUCCUGGCAAAAUCUUUUGUUCUAGCUAAUAAAAGAAGUUAGUUUAAAAAACAAAAAGGAAAAAAUGUAGUGUUUUUUUUUUCCUUCACUAUGAUAUUCAUUGGUGGUAUAUGGUGUGUUGUUUUAUUUCUUGGUAUUAUUAACUCUGUGUAAAUUGUUUUUUGAGUGAAGCUGACUUUCUGGAUGGGUUGGUUUGUAUUUGAGGCAGGAUUAAUUUCAGUAGGGUUCUUUCAUAGAUUUCUGAUGGGUAUUACUGGGAUUUUGGUUUUGUUUACUGUAUGUAUAAACCUAGAGCUUUGGUAGGGCCAGCUGGGCUGCUGGAGUUUUGGGUGUGAAUUUAUUAGAUGGCUUUUGUUAGAUGCAGUUUUUAAUUUUUGAAAUGUUUUUCAAUGUAGUGGUUUUAAGGUGGUUUUUAAGAAUUCAUUGUAUUGCUUUAUCUUGUUUGUAGUUGGUGUAUGAUAAGGGAUGUGGUGUGACUUUUUGAACAUUAU